rnacentral:rRNA from 1 species
GAUGAACGCUGGCGGCGUGCCUAAUACAUGCAAGUCGAGCGAACAGACGAGGAGCUUGCUCCUCUGACGUUAGCGGCGGACGGGUGAGUAACACGUGGAUAACCUACCUAUAAGACUGGGAUAACUUCGGGAAACCGGAGCUAAUACCGGAUAAUAUAUUGAACCGCAUGGUUCAAUAGUGAAAGACGGUUUUGCUGUCACUUAUAGAUGGAUCCGCGCCGCAUUAGCUAGUUGGUAAGGUAACGGCUUACCAAGGCGACGAUGCGUAGCCGACCUGAGAGGGUGAUCGGCCACACUGGAACUGAGACACGGUCCAGACUCCUACGGGAGGCAGCAGUAGGGAAUCUUCCGCAAUGGGCGAAAGCCUGACGGAGCAACGCCGCGUGAGUGAUGAAGGCCUUCGGAUCGUAAAACUCUGUUAUUAGGGAAGAACAAAUGUGUAAGUAACUAUGCACGUCUUGACGGUACCGAAUCAGAAAGCCACGGCUAACUACGU